UAUACUAUUGAUCAGCAUGUCUAAUUAAUAAUUUUUUUUGUAUCUGUUUCUGUAUGUGUAUGUCUAUUUAAGAGUGCAUCAACAGUCUUCGGUUGAAGGAAUAUGUUGCACCAUCACGUCAGGUGAAACCUACGUUCCUGCUGCCACUGAAGGAUCACGCUGUACGCAGAGGCCAUGACUGCAGCAUGAGCUGUGCCUAUCAGGGCAUGCCAACACCACAGGCCUGCUGGUAUAAGGGGGAAUCGAAGAUCUCUGACUGCCCUCGGUUUUGGCAGAGCACAGCUAACGGCGUGUGCACCCUGGUCAUCCCUACAUGUGGAGCCAAAGAUGGCGGAGAAUACACACUGGUGCUGGAGAACCCUCUGGGGACAGCCAAGUGCUCCUGCAACCUGGUGAUAUUUGAUAAGGAUGACAAGGGUCUGUUGGAGAGCCUGACGAACCAGUCAAACAAAGAGAAGCUUAUUUUGUAAGAAGUAUGCUUAAAGUGUUGCACUUUUAUUGGGCUCUGACCUCAGACUGCACGUACUGUCACCACUAACAGUGAUUUUAGCUGUGGUAAGUUUUAGGACUUUAGAAAUCUAUAUCAAAAUGCUGUUUUUUCAUCUUUAUAUUCUUUCUAAUCAAGUUCCCAAGCUCUGUUAAUGCAUCAAAUGACCACUAGAGGUCAGACUUGCUCUCAACCUUGUGUAGGCAUUCUGCAUCAUGAGCAGAUUAAUGUGUGGUGUGAUGGAGGGAUUUUUACUCAUCAGUCAGCUCGCUCAGCCCGAGAGAUUGCCCUUUCUCUCUAAAGUCUAUGUUUUUCUCUCUAUAAAGGAAUUAGAAUUUAAUCUUUUCUCCAGGGUUUUCAUUUUUUUCCUCCAAAUUCACUUCCAUAGAGCAUCCUGUACCAGGCCGAGUGUGUUUCUACACAUACAAAUAAAGUAAUAAACAGUACACAAUGCACCAUAUCCACACAGCCACUUUGGAACCACAGUUCAAGAGUCUGAAGAGUCUGGAUAUCAAGGAAAUGGGCAUGCACAGUGACAGUUCCCUUUGAGGGGGUCCUAGUAGUUGGUGUGUUCAUCUGCAUAACAUGCAAUGUCCUGGGUUUGAAUCCAAUCUACAGCUUUCAUCAGAUGUCAUCCUCUUCUUGCUUUCCCAGUUUUGCUUGGUGCGUUCCACCAUGGAUGAUUGAAAACACAGACACACACACACACACACACACACACAAAUGCCUCUAAAUGUAUCUCAAACAAAAAUAGAAACAGAAAUAAUUUCACCUCCCGUAUUUGCCUCGGUGCUUAGAAUGUAAUUAUUGGAUUAUUGGAUUUGAAAUGAAACAAAGAGAGGAAGGUGCUUACUGCAGGUUAUCAUCCACAUUGGAUGAGCUUUGUAGCAUACCAAGAAUCUCCCAAUUUUAGAUCACUGUCCUGACCAUUGCACAAGAUUUUGGGAUUAUAUGUAUAAAAAAGGGCUCCAAGUUUCGACACUAUUCAUCCAAUACAGAUUUUAUUUGACCCUUACAAUCUGAAAGUCUUAAACCUAAAAGUGUACUGUAGUUAAUUAAUCAUUUUGUUAAUUUUGUUAAUUUAGUUAACUUUUAAAUCCAAAGUGUGUUGUAGUGUGUGUAGGCUUCCCCCAGGGAAAGCCUGUGUAUAGGCAUUGCUUCUGAGUGGUCUGCUGCUGCUUGAGAGAGAGUGUGGUCUGGUAAGGAGCUGCCAAAUAGAGGUUACAACCCCUCUCCAUCCUGACGUCACCAUGCUGGCUCUCACAAACUCCAUUUCUAUAGAGCCACCAGACGACUGGCAGUGUCAGUUGCCAGGUUCAGAUCAAUUAAGCACCAACAGGCACUAAACCGACGUCACUGGUACCUUCCGCCUCCCUACGGCUCAGCUAAGGCACAAUAAGGUGGAAGUAGUGAAAGCCUGAAUAGUCAAUCUAGGUAUUUGACAGAAACUAAAGGCUGCUGCACCCAAAGGGAACUAAACCCUCUUGUAUUUGUCUUGUUUCCAUGAUGUUUUCAUCACAUUGCAUUUAUACGACUAAACCUAAGAGAUACAGGAUGAAAACCUAUUAAAGGAUUUUCCGAUACAUAACUUGAAUGGAGUAAUAUUAUAUGGUAGAUAAUCUCUUUCACAUUUUUUUUUUUAGAUUCAAUGUCAUUUCAGCAUUUCAGCAGACGUAUGUGUCACCAAGCCUAUUUUUGUCAGUCAUUACAGAUAUGCCUGAUUUUCAUAGAAGACUGGAGUUCUUUGAUGGUAAGACCUUGGCUGCAAAUGAAUGAGAUGCAUUUGGAGAGAACUGGCAUGAUUCCUAAAGGAAUAAACUAUGAGAUGUGCUGUGUAAAUGUGGGUGUGUGCAUGCACAUGUAAAAAAAAAAUAAAAAAUGGGGGAGAUAAAAAAAAAGCAGACAGAACAAGAGAAGGCAAGAGGAAGCAUCGCUAGCAGUUCAACCACAGGGUUGAAGCCUGUUGAAAGCACAUUUUCCACCUCUGCCACACUAUAGAGCGCAGCAGUUACUAGAACAGAGCUCUCUGUUGUCCUCCAGUUCUUUCUGCCUUAAUGGCACUUUAUCUGCUGAGGGCCAACAGCUUCUGUAGAAGCACAAAACACUGAACUGUUAUAAAUAUCAGCUGACAUUUUGAAGGGCAUUUUACGGCCCCUUUUGAUCCUAGGAAACAGCAAAACAAACAAAGAAGACCAAAGGAUGUAAUGUUGAAGUUGCAUUGUAAUUGCAUUUAUUUCUCCAAUAGAUAUUCACAUUCAUAGCAGUUUCACUACAGCAAAGAAACUAUUUUGUCUCUACAGUCAUAAAAGAAAUAAAUCACUAAAUGAAAAUCAAGGACAACAAGGUUAAGUGUAUCAUAGAAUAAAAAAAAAACAUUUGUUCAUAAAAGGAAGUCAAAAGGUACUAAAUAGAUGCAUUAGUUAAUAGGCGUUCUAAUAAAAAAAGUUAAAUUUGUUGGAAACCGAAAACCCCAAACCGCUU
rnacentral:lncRNA from 15 species